rfam:Oryza nivara chromosome 8, whole genome shotgun sequence.
AAUAAGCACAGCCAUGAGUUUCCAUGUCCAACUUUAAUCGUUCGUCUUAUUUGAGAUUUUUUUUAUAAUUUAUAAAACAUGAAUAAUACUUUAUGCGUGACUCAUGCUUUUUAGUUUUUUUUAAAAAAAUUUCAAAUAAGACAAAUAAUUAAAGUUUAACACAGAAAUUUAUGGUUAUGCUUAUU